AAACGACGACCAGAUGACAAUGCGGACGACAACCAUCAUCCCCCUCAUUCCAAGAGGACAAGGAAGGACCAGACCGAACAGGAUCCUUGUGCUAUAGAGUCGACAAGCAGUGACAAUAGAAGGAACCAAACCAACAUCAAUAAUCCUAACCGUGAGAGAGUGCCAGAGAACAGCUUAAACCAGAGCACUGCUGAACUAGACUCCAAUAUCCCUGAGUUCUCCCAAGAGGAGGACUAUGAAGUGUGCCAAGACCAAGAUCCUUACUCGCAUAUUAACAACAUCUUGAAGGAGGCUCAUUUCUACAGCCUCCAGCAGAGAGGACACUCUCCGACAUGA
rnacentral:lncRNA from 14 species